ensembl:lncRNA
GAUUACACUAAUGCUUCAUGAGAAUGUGGUUAUAUAAUAAAUCACAACUGUGAUGUAGACAGACAGAUAGACAGAGACAGAGAGACAGACAGACAGAGAGACAGACAGACAGACAGACAGACAGACAGACAGAUAGAUAGAUAGAUAGAUAGAUAGAUAGAUAGAUAGAUAGAUAGAUAGAUAGAUAGAUAGAUAGAUAGAUAGAUAGAUAGAGUAACUUUUAGGUCACUUUUUCAUGUGUAUAUAAAUAGUCAAUAGUCAUAGGUCAAUAGUCUCCUAGCAACAGUGCCAACAGGAGCGCUGUGGCUGGCCAGUCGGUUUUUGUUUACUGGUUUCCCUGUGGACAAGUGUUUGGGUGCUGAGGGCAGAAAUUAGGCCAUGCCUAGUGACAUGAGAGAGACAGAGUGAGAUGAGGGCUUGGAGGGGCGGGGUGGCGUGUGUGUGUGUGUGUGGUGGGGGGGUGUUGCAGAUAAGAAGCUGAAAGUGAAAUAGCGCGGAGAGUGAAAGCUAGACUGAAAGCGUAGUUACAGAGGGCACAGGGGUACUUAUUGAAAAUAACAUGAAAGUAAAGGGAACAGAUAGUGUACAGUAGGCCUCACACUUUGACGAAUGGCUGUUAUUCCAGGAACGAGAGGGGCCGAAGCAACAGGACACUCUUAAAUCUGCAGUGGCGAAAGAGGCCCUGUUUCCUGACCCUUCUGAGAAUGGCUUUGAAAUGCGCCUCAAACGCUUCAGCGCCAUCAGGGGAAACGGGGCUGCUGCCUGCUUUAAAAAGAGCUUUACAGGAUGUAUGGAAGAAAUCCUGAGGGAUAAUUGGUGUAGAUGUGCACUGUCACGCUGCCUUGGAAACCACUGACUCAGGUAAAGAAUCCAUCUUCAAAGGAAACAGCCCGGUGUUGUUUCUGACCGACCUGCCUGAAGAACGUUAAAAGCACGAGGAGAUCCUUCAUUGCCCGAUUUCAAAGAGACCGUGACAUACUUGAGUGCUCAGACUUUCUCAUGGGGAGUACUUGAGGUUCAUGUGCAAUGAGAGACAAUGAUGGAGGCCUCUUCAUACGCCACAAAGGCAGAAAGAAAAUUAUGGGUUUUUUACAAUGGCUGGACAAAGAUAAAUACUGUCUAUAAGUAUGGGAGGUAACGGUGCUAUCAUGUUCACAAACAGAAAGAAGAAUGCUUUGAUACGACACCACCUCAAUAUUUUCAACAAGAUCUCAUAAGCAUUUGGAAUCAUUUUUACAAAAAUAUGGUUUUACCACACAUAUUUUUACUUUCUAAAACACAAUCCUGAUGUAUUGACGGCAUCUAAAACGUAAAUAAUUUACAGACGCACAAAUGUUUAUAAAUCCUUAAUCACCUUGAUUAAACGGUUGAUUCUAUUGCAUUUAUGAUCAUUGAGAUUAUGAUUUCAAUAACAUUUAUUUAGUGCUGUUGGCUCAUUUCAAAGGAUUACAUAGAGUAAAAUUGCACCAUAAGGGAUAAUAAAUGUGGUCCAUUUUAUUUGUGCACUGUGCAAAUUGUCAGAAUGUCAUUAUGUUUGUGUGUGCAUGAGGAACAGACUCCAAUUCAAAUUCAUCUCAAUCUCAUAAAACUGUUGUACACCACCAGAGAUGAUUUCAGUUUUUCAAUAUCUGUGAGAUACUGUUUCUACCUCAAUCAAUC